AACGAACGCUGGCGGCAUGCCUAACACAUGCAAGUCGAACGAGACCUUCGGGUCUAGUGGCGCACGGGUGCGUAACGCGUGGGAACCUGCCCUUAGGUUCGGAAUAACUCCCCGAAAGGGGUGCUAAUACCGGAUAAUGUCUUCGGACCAAAGAUUUAUCGCCUUUGGAUGGGCCCGCGUUGGAUUAGCUAGUUGGUAGGGUAAAAGCCUACCAAGGCGACGAUCCAUAGCUGGUCUGAGAGGAUGAGCAGCCACACUGGGACUGAGACACGGCCCAGACUCCUACGGGAGGCAGCAGUGGGGAAUAUUGGACAAUGGGCGAAAGCCUGAUCCAGCAAGGCCGGGUGAGUGAUGAAGGCCUGAGGGUUGUAAAGCUCUUUUACCCGGGAUGAUAAUGACAGUACCGGGAGAAUAAGCUCCGGCUAACUCCGUG
rnacentral:rRNA from 1 species